rnacentral:lncRNA from 1 species
AGGCUGUGGAUAAAUCUAGGUCCGAGAUCUAGGAGACAUCUGACCGAACACAAGAUGUCAAUUAGUAAUUCGAAAGGAUCGGGAUUAUCAUUCUAUACACGCAUACUGAAAUGACUGAAGUCACGGUUUGCCUCCAGGUUCUUUACAUAUAUGUAUAUCGUUUCUUUUUAUGUGACCGUAAAGUAACCAUCUAUGCCAUUUACCCCUGUGCCUCCAAGUUACACGUCUCUAGAGUGCAGACAAGUUUGUGACUGUCGAGAACUACAUGAGAUCCAGCACCUUGGUGCCGCUAAGUCACACGGGUGAUCGACAACGGGCUCUUGAAGAUCUGCGGCUCUCUUUGUAUUGUUUUCACGAAAAGAGCCGAUCCGCAUAGUCACUACAUAACUGUGUAGCUUCAGAACGGGGGCCUAUCAUAGGUUGGACUCGAUUGGGUCAAUAAUUUUCGGCAUAAAUUUCGAGGAGCCAGCCCCACGCCACUCAUGCAGGCAGACCAAGUCUGAACAGGGAUUCUUAAUCAGUUGAUUCGGCAUGUUCGGGACUCUGCCUUAUCUGGACGCAUAUUGGGUGAUCCCUGCAUGAGCAAAAUGUGAGCUAGGAUCCAAUCGUAUUUCUCUGUUCUACUCCCUUUUGGUGAUUUAUGUCUCCUCUCCUCCCGAGUAUCCAUUAUCUAUCUAACUCGUUGGUCGAAUACAAAAUAUUAUUAUGGGACUCCAUAAGUAUAUAAGCUUAAAUCGUGGUAUGGCUGGCUGAAAAUCCACACCUUGGCGAUCUUGGUGGCCUUAAGCCUCCAGAGUUAGGGCAACAGCCGAUCAGCUGAUGGUGGGUGUUACAAUGGCAUUGUGUGCCAAAGUAGUUAUCGCAACAGCGAGCCAACAUGACAAAUGCAUAUCACUUUGGAUCGAUCUUCCCAUACUAUGUAUAUUUCAUGUGAUGCAAAUGACAACGGUUCUGUCUUAACAGUCCAUAUUUCGAGGGUUCGAGUAGACACAUGAAGUAUAUCUAGAUAUUCGAGUGGUGAAGUUACCGUGCUGGCGUAGACCGUUCGCAAUGCAUGCCUGGUAGAUCUUUGCAGAAUGAAAGUCUAAAAAAGAAUUGAAGAGUAUUCUAUGGAUGCGUUUCAUCGACGAUUUCCGUGGUUGUGGUUUCUUCACGUCAAUAGGCCUAGACCCCAACCAGGGUAACCCACACGUGUCGAGUAAAUUAAUACCAUGUGUGCCGCGAUCGGUGCUAUAUUAGUCUGGCAACGAGUCAAUAUAAUGACAUAGUACCCCAUAGAAGAACUGACAAAUUCCUUCAACGCCGAGUCACCGAUAAAUCUCUCUAACUAACAUAGCAAGUGAUGAAACGACCAAAUAAAUACAAUAAUAGAUCGAUCACUAACCCCAUAGCUCCCGGCACCAGCACUGUUGGCUCCGCUCCGGGGUUCAGCGCCUAAUCUAUCUAGGCCUGGAUGGGCAAACAGUACAGAAACAAUGGUGGCUAGACAGCACACUAGCUGGCUUCUGAGCAACAAUGAGGGAAUAACCUUUGCCCAAUCUGGUUACUGUGGGAGCACUUAGGCCAACAUGAUCGACGUAAUGGUGUCUCCGAAUUGACCGGAUCGUCAUCCAUUAGUGUGCCGUGGAAGAGCUGUACAUAUGAUUCGACAGCCAGGGCCGCCACUUCUACAGCACACAGUUCAAUGUACAGGGAUAUUAUCAUCUAGGUGAGCUGUUGAGAUAAAUAUCGGUCCCGGAUACAUGGUCUAUGUGGAGUUUGGGCUGGAGAGGUAUAUGAACUACUUCGUACGGCUGGUCAUGCAGUCACUGGCGCCGCUGCUAGAUUUUAUUAUAGCCAUCGUCGAUUUUAAAGAUAAAUAUUUGAUUUGUCACAGUAUUUUCGCCCAUACAUCUGAAGAAGGAAUCAUAAAGCUUGCAAAGGCGCGAAUUUCAUUGGCCAAAUCUGUGCGUCCCAAAACGAGCAUCAGAAAAAGCAAAAGUGGACUGCGU